UACGGGGGGGGCAAGCGUUGUUCGGAAUUACUGGGCGUAAAGGGCUCGUAGGCGGCCAACUAAGUCCGACGUGAAAUCCCCAGGCUCAACUUGGGAACUGCGUCGGAUACUGGAUGGCUUGAAUUCGGGAGAGGGAUGCAGAAUUCCAGGUGUAGCGGUGAAAUGCGUAGAUAUCUGGAGGAAUACCGGUGGCGAAGGCGGCAUCCUGGACCGAAAUUGACGCUGAGGCGCGAAAGCCAGGGGAGCAAACGGG
rnacentral:rRNA from 1 species